CCUACGGGAGGCAGCAGUGAGGAAUAUUGGUCAAUGGGCGAGAGCCUGAACCAGCCAAGUCGCGUGAAGGAUGAAGGAUCUAUGGUUUGUAAACUUCUUUUAUAUGGGAAUAAAGUGAGGAACGUGUUCCUUUUUGUAUGUACCAUAUGAAUAAGCAUCGGCUAACUCCGUGCCAGCAGCCGCGGUAAUACGGAGGAUGCGAGCGUUAUCCGGAUUUAUUGGGUUUAAAGGGUGCGUAGGUGGUUAAUUAAGUCAGCGGUGAAAGUAUGAGGCUGAACCAUAAAAUUGCCGUUGAAACUGGUUGACUUGAGUGUAUUUGAGGUAGGCGGAAGGCGUGGUGUAGCGGUGAAAUGCAUAGAGAUCACGCAGAACUCCGAUUGCGAAGGCAGCUUACUAAACUAUAACUGACGCUCAUGCACGAAAGUGUGGGUAUCGAACAGGAUUAGAUACCCUUGUAGUC
rnacentral:rRNA from 1 species